AACGAACGCUGGCGGCAGGCCUAACACAUGCAAGUCGAGCGAACCCUUCGGGUUAGCGGCGGACGGGUUAGUAACGCGUGGGAAUAUACCCUUUGGUACGGAAUAGCCUCGGGAAACUGAGAGUAAUACCGUAUGUGCCCUUCGGGGAAAGGAUUAUCGCCAAAGGAUUAGCCCGCGUUGGAUUAGGUAGUUGGUGGGGUAAUGGCCUACCAAGCCUACGAUCCAUAGCUGGUUUGAGAGGAUGAUCAGCAACACUGGGACUGAGACACGGCCCAGACUCCUACGGGAGGCAGCAGUGGGGAAUCUUAGACAAUGGGCGCAAGCCUGAUCUAGCCAUGCCGCGUGGACGAUGAAGGCCUUAGGGUUGUAAAAGUCCUUUCAGAUGGGAAGAUAAUGACGGUACCAUCAGAAGAAGCCCCGGCUAACUCCGUGCCAGCAGCCGCGGUAAAGUCUGUACU
rnacentral:rRNA from 1 species